rnacentral:misc_RNA from 1 species
GUGAAUUAAACAUGCUUGGUGUCUUCGCUUCGGCAAGGCCCUUGCUUAAAUCACAUCCUAACACCUGUGAACUGUAAGACGUAUGAUGAGGUCUUUGGCCAAGUCAUCGUCUGCCCAUUUUUAACAAACAAUUAAUGUAACAAACGUAGUCUUAUUAUAACCUAAU